GAUUAACGCUGGCGGCGUGCCUAACACAUGCAAGUCGAGCGGCAGCGAGUUUUACACUGAAUUCUGGAAGCUUCUAGUUGAAAGAGAAGAUUUAUUCAAGAAUUUUGUGUAAAAUGUCGGCGAGCGGCGGACGGCUGAGUAACGCGUGGGAACGUACCCCAAAGUGAGGGAUAACGCAUCGAAAGGUGUGCUAAUACCGCAUAUGGUCUUCGGAUUAAAGCCUUCGGGCGCUUUGGGAACGGCCUGCGUAAGAUUAGAUAGUUGGUGGGGUAAUGGCCUACCAAGUCGACGAUCUUUAACUGGUUUGAGAGGAUGAUCAGUCAGACUGGAACUGAGACACGGUCCAGACUCCUACGGGAGGCAGCAGUGAGGAAUCUUCCACAAUGGGUGAAAGCCUGAUGGAGCAACGCCGCGUGCAGGAUGAAGGCCUUCGGGUUGUAAACUGCUUUUAUAAGUGAGGACUAUGACAGUAACUUAUGAAUAAGGAUCGGCUAACUACGUG
rnacentral:rRNA from 1 species